rnacentral:rRNA from 1 species
GAUGAACGCUAGCGGCAGGCCUAACACAUGCAAGUCGAGGGGGAAGUUACUUUCGGGUGACUGAGACCGGCGUACGGGUGCGUAACGCGUAUACAAUCUGCCUUUCACUGGGGGAUAGCCCGAAGAAAUUUGGAUUAAUACCCCAUAGUAUAUAGGGACGGCAUCGUUUUUAUAUUAAAGCUUAGGUGGUGAAAGAUGAGUAUGCGUUCUAUUAGCUAGCUGGAGAGGUAACGGCUCCCCAAGGCGAUGAUAGAUAGGGGUUCUGAGAGGGAUGUCCCCCACACUGGUACUGAGAUACGGACCAGACUCCUACGGGAGGCAGCAGUGAGGAAUAUUGGACAAUGGUCGGAAGACUGAUCCAGCCAUGCCGCGUGCAGGAUGAAGGUCUUAUGGAUUGUAAACUGCUUUUGUAAGGGAAGAAUAAGGGCUACGCGUAGUUUGAUGACGGUACCUGACGAAUAAGCAUCGGCUAACUCCGUG